rnacentral:lncRNA from 1 species
CAGUACCUCAAGCGGGCAAGAAAUAUUAUCAUAGCCAAUUAAAUUUGUACUAAAAUUAAUCAAAUAUUCAUAGUUUCUACACUUUAUGUAGUUUUGGUCCUGAGACAAAAGAUGUCUUUGGAGAACUAGUAAUGGAGAGUGAAAUGCUCAAAAAUAAAAGGGAAACAUAAAUGGUGGUAGAUUUUACAGUCAAUCUCUAAGCCUGGUUCUGGCAUACGAAGAAUUAUACAUACAUAUAGAAAAAAUAAUUAAUUGACUUAAGAUAAAAAUAAAAAGGCGCAUGUAGCU